UUUCAAUUAUUCGUCGGCCGCCCAAGCCCAUAAUUCCUCCGUUGGCUCAUCGGAUUUUUCUUAAUGAUAUCAAAUUAAAUCCUAAGAUUUAAUUAAGCAGUGAUUAAAUUUUCACAAAUUAUUCCAGGAAUUAAAUAAAUAAUUCCCAUGAGGAAUUAAAUUAUCAGUCCAAGGAUUUAUUUUAACUGACCCAAUUUAAUUUAAGGGGUGAUGAGCCCGAAAGAAGUAGGCCAAAAUCACAUUCCUCAAAAUAAAAAAAAUAGGGAGGCCCAAGAAAAAUGGCCCACCUAGCAAUACUUCCUUCUUAAUAAACACACGGUGCCUCCCAGUCCACUUUAACAAUCAUCAAUAUAUUAAGAAAGAUAAUUAAUCUAUACUAAUAAUUUUAGGUACAAAUUAAAAUCUUAUGAGGCAGUUUCAUGUGUACUAUAAACGUAAUCCCCAUAAUCGAAUAGUUAAGUUUAUUAAAAUAUUGAUUUUAAACCAUUACUACUAAUAAAAACAAGAAAGCAACUGACCCCAUUCUCGGUUGCUAUUCUUCUCUCUCUCUUUCUCACCUUUCUUCCCCAAAACUCCUCUCUACUGUAAAUCUCAAACAAAGAACACACCCAAAUCCCUCCAUUUCGCCAACAAUCAAAAUGAAGAUUUCACAGACACACACACAAAUUCAUUUCUCUCUCUCUCUCAUUUUUUUCUCACAAAAUUUAAAUUCAACCAAACUUCCAAAACGCCGCUGUGGGUCGCUGCCGCAGCUGUCGACCCCAAAAUCCGGCGAAGCACCGCGCUACCGUUGAAGCCACCACAGCCGUCGUCGCUGCUCCGGCAGCCCCGAUUCCACCCCGAAACAGCCCCGUUUUCCCAUUAAAGAUUUCAUGAGAUGCACAAGAAUGGAAUAGGAAUGGGGUGUAAGAAGUGUCUUAGAGAUGGUUAUCGAGAGGUUUAGGUAGGCUGCAAAUAUUAGGGCUCUGCAUAUUGGAUAGUUUGGGAGGAAAAAGUUGAUUUGUAUUGUAUUGUGUAUAUUGUUACAAUCGUUCCUCAUCUUUAAAUAGAGGGGAAUACAAAGUAUUUUGGUAAAGAAUAAAAUCUAUUUCCAUACAAUGUAUUCCA